AUUGAACGCUAGCGGGAUGCUUUACACAUGCAAGUCGAACGAGUGGCGGACGGGUGAGUAAUAUCUCGGAACGUGCCCAGUAGCGGGGGAUAACUACUCGAAAGAGUGGCUAAUACCGCAUACUAUCGGAGCGGCCCAUAUCGGAUUAGCUAGUUGGUGGGGUAAAGGCUCACCAAGGCAACGAUCCGUAGCUGGUUUGAGAGGAUGACCAGCCACAUUGGGACUGAGACACGGCCCAGACUCCUACGGGAGGCAGCAGUGGGGAAUUUUGGACAAUGGGGGAAACCCUGAUCCAGCCAUCCCGCGUGUAUGAGAAGGACUUCGGGUUGUAAAGUACUUUUGGCAGAGAAGCGGUAUCUGCAGAAUAAGCACCGGCUAACUACGUGCCAGCAGCCGCGGUAAUAC
rnacentral:rRNA from 1 species